AAGAACAAACCUUAUUCCCAGGAACCAUACCUGAGUCACUGCCAAGCUGCCUUCCUGGAGCAGCUCAGGGGAUUCUCCAGGUUCCUCCUAAGUCUCCCAGGAAUCCAGUUAUAAACCCAAGCAAUAGCAAUCUCCUGGUCGAGCAAGGUCACCAGGCUUGAAUUCUACGUGGUCAUAAAGGCAGGUAAGAAUUUUCCUCAGGCAGUGACCACCAGGCUUCCACAGUCAAACGGAAGGGUGAUAAGAAUCACAUAGAGGGGCAGUAAUUGAUAAUUAUCAUUUGCAACCCAAAAGGGAAGUGACUAAUGAAUUAACUAAAGACUAAAUUCAGGUAAUAUCUAAGAAGAGGGAUCUUAUGUGCUCAACUAUAAUCUUAAACAUGAUUGGUAGAAAAUGUUAAGAAUCUAUAAGUUGCUAGGUCAAUGGGAGAAAAUAAAACUGCCUUCUUUUUUCCUGUG